GAUGAACGCUGGCGGCGUGCUUAACACAUGCAAGUCGAACGAUGAACCGGGUGCUCGCACUCGGGGAUUAGUGGCGAACGGGUGAGUAACACGUGAGCAACCUGCCCCUGACUCUGGGAUAAGCGCUGGAAACGGCGUCUAAUACUGGAUAUGUCCCGUCACCGCAUGGUGUGCGGGUGGAAAGAUUUUUCGGUUGGGGAUGGGCUCGCGGCCUAUCAGCUUGUUGGUGAGGUAAUGGCUCACCAAGGCGUCGACGGGUAGCCGGCCUGAGAGGGUGACCGGCCACACUGGGACUGAGACGCGGCCCAGACUGCUACGGGGGGCAGCAGUGGGGAAUAUUGCACAAUGGGCGGAAGCCUGAUGCAGCAACGCCGCGUGAGGGAUGACGGCCGUCGGGUUGUAAACCUCUUUUAGCAGGGAAGAAGCGAGAGUGACGGUACCUGCAGAAAAAGCACCGGCUAACUACGUGCCAGCCGCCGCCGUAA
rnacentral:rRNA from 1 species